AGAGACUAAGGAUUUAGCAGAAGAGACUUUCUUUUGGUUUAUUAAUGUUUUCAAAUGGUAAAAGAACAACAGAAGAAAUCAGCCAAUGGAUGAAUUUUCCUUCCAAAGAAUGGUAGUUUGUUCUUAUGCAGAUAUUAGAGCUGAACAUAAAAUACUUUCCACCCUCCAUCCCCACCCUCCUGGUGGAAUAUUUCAGCUUUAUGUCAAAAAAUUGAAAGCCACUUUUAGUUCACCUCAGUCUGUCUGGAAUUUUAAAAAGUUGUUACAGGGAAGAAACCUAGGACCCCACUCACUCACUACAAUCCACGGGAAAUAAGCUGACUCCUGUCCUUCUCCUACCAGCUAGGGAAGACUAGUUCCACACCCUCAUCAACAUCCACCACUAUCCAAGCGAAGCCACUUUAUUUAAAAAUACAAGUGCUGAGGUUUAGAAUGAUAGUUACUGUACAGUAUUCGAAACUCUAUAAUUCACAAGCUAAAAUUCAGCACAUUGUCCAGUUAAUCAGCUCAACAGUCUCAAGUGUAAAGGGAAACACAUGCCCAUUACAUCUGAUUACACAAAAAAUACAUUCGUUUUCAGAAGGCUCCAAGGAUAGUUGUAAUUGUAGCCAGGCGUGUUUAAGCUACUGUGCAUGUUGUGCCCAAAUGCUCUUGGAUUAAUAAAGUAAGAUACAAAGCAGGUUGUCAAACCUUAGAGGAGAGAUAUGGAAUGCUUUUGUUUAAUAAGUCAUGUUGGGAAUGGCUUCAUAGAUCUGGCUAGCCAGGUGCAGAUGGUAGAAAAUAAACACCUAGAUUAGUUCUGCAUGACUUGUGUUUUCACAGCACUAUACAACGUUUAUUAUGGCUAGCCCUAUAUUUCAUGCCACUUACAUUUUGGCAGAUUCACCUGAUCGGCCUGUUCACUGCACUAUUCGAAAGUGUAGCUUUUGCCCCUUUAUAAUUAGAAUGUUUACAUCACUAUCAGGCCCUCACACAACAAAUGUAUCCAAAUGAAAAUGUUUCUUGUAAAUCUUUCAUCUAUAAAACCUAGAAGGGAAACAACGGACUACUGUGAGCUUUUGGAUAAACAGAAUACAGAUCCUUCUCUUGGGUAAUGGAUUGGAUUAGUGAGAAGUGGUGCUAUGCCCAAUUAUAAAAUAAGAUACUACUAGUUUUCACCUGAGCAUAACAUGUUCUAAUGUCUAAACUAAUUAUAAGCUCUCUCUCACACACUAAAUUAUAAGUGAUUCUGUUGUAUAACUAAAGCUUUUCAAGUGUCUUUUAAAUCAAUAUUUUCCAAUAUAAAACAUCAGGCUGUGAUCACGUCCAAUCUGACAAACUAAGCAUUGGUGAUCUGUAUGCAUUUCGGAGAUCUCCAACAGAAAUCUAGGUGCUACAGGGAGAGUUGCUGAUGUUGUAAGUGGCCUUCUCCAUCAGUACCGACCUAAUGCCAUUAUCAUAGGCCUAUCAUUCUCUGGAUACUCCUCCUAGUCCCCCAACUCCAUAUUUGAUAUCCAUAAAUCAGCAGCCCUCUCUCCUCCAUGGUCAGCAACCAGCCUUGCUCAGCAUAUUAUUUGAGAGAGCCUGUCUGCUUCCUUUUUGCUGUUAGAAAUUACUCUGCAUCUGCCAUGUGUCCUCAGCUGCUGCUAGUCCAGCUCCUUUUGGCCUCUGCUCAGGCUGGUUUUUAGUGACUGUGAAAGUUUCCUCUACAGCAGAUAGUUUUCAGCAGUAGCUCCCAAGCCCUCUCCUUCAUUUGGGAUUCAUGUGGGCUAGUUUGAAACUAUCUUUUUGUUAAUAAAACUAUGCUCCAAAAGGGAGGACUUGCUAAUCUUACAAGCCUGUUACUUUUAGUUUGAGGUGGGUAUGGACCAGUUUACAUUUUAGAGAGAUUCUCCUACAAUGAUUGCCUCCAAGUUCAUGGUACAAGGAGCACACUGCCAAGUUUCUGAAAGGGCUUAAUGUACCAUAACUGAUACCCACAGUGGGGUCGCUUAUAGUAGUGCAGUGAGGCUGGGGCCAUUCACAAUACAACAUCCCUCACACUUGGGAAAGAAAGUGAUCCAUAGGGAUGACUAUGAAAAAUUACAGUUAAUAAUCAGCAUUAUCGUUUGGCCUAAAACAUGCUCAUCUUAUGGCUAUUUUAUUUAAGAUACAUUUAAAAUUCCUCUUUCUAGAAUGAAACUUUAGGGUUUGUCUAUUUAAUAUUCAAGUGCAGAGCUUCUUCUGUCAGGAAACGACUAAAGGUUUCAGAGUUUGUUUCUUUUCUCUAUUAAACAGCUUAGUCCUA